rnacentral:rRNA from 1 species
UACAGAGGGGGCAAGCGUUAUUCGGAAUUAUUGGGCGUAAAGCGCACGUAGGCGGCUUUGUAAGUUAGAGGUGAAAGCCCGGAGCUCAACUCCGGAAUUGCCUUUAAGACUGCAUCGCUUGAAUCAUGGAGAGGUGAGUGGAAUUCCGAGUGUAGAGGUGAAAUUCGUAGAUAUUCGGAAGAACACCAGUGGCGAAGGCGACUCACUGGACAUGUAUUGACGCUGAGGUGCGAAAGCGUGGGGAGCAAACAGG